rnacentral:rRNA from 1 species
AUACGUAGGGCGCGGGCGUUGUCCGGAAUUAUUGGGCGUAAAGAGCUCGUAGGCGGCCGGUCGCGUCUGCCGUGAAAGCCCACGGCUCAACCGUGGGACUGCGGUGGAUACGGGCCGGCUAGAGGCAGGCAGGGGCAAGUGGAAUUCCUGGUGUAGCGGUGAAAUGCGCAGAUAUCAGGAGGAACACCGGUGGCGAAGGCGGCUUGCUGGGCCUGUCCUGACGCUGAGGAGCGAAAGCGUGGGGAGCGAACAGGAUUAGAUACCCUGGUAGUCCACGCCGUAAACGUUGGGCGCUAGGUGUGGGGCCUUUCCACGGGCUCCGUGCCGUAGCUAACGCAUUAAGCGCCCCGCCUGGGGAGUACGGCCGCAAGGCUAAA